UUUAAGUGCAACCAUGAGUUUUCGUAUUCAACUUUGAUCGUCCGUCUUAUUUAAUUUUUUUUAUAAUAAUUAUUAUUAUUAUUAUUAUUAUUAUUAUUAUUAUUAUUAUUAUUAUAUGAUAAAUAGUACUUUAUAUUUGACUUAUAUUUUUAAAAAAAAAUUAAAAAAAUUAAACAAAACAGACGAUCAAAGUUGGGUACGAAAAAUCAUAGCUGCAUUUAUA
rfam:Oryza glumipatula chromosome 6, whole genome shotgun sequence.